GCCUGGCCAGCUCAGUCGGUGGAGCAUGUGACCUCUGAUCUCAGGGUUGUGGGUUCAAGCCCCACGUUGGGCA